rnacentral:tRNA from 1 species
GGUGUAGCUCAACUGGCAGAGCGUCCGGCUGUUAACCGGAAGGUUGCAGGUUCGAAUCCUGCCGC